rnacentral:rRNA from 1 species
UACAGAGGGUGCGAGCGUUGUCCGGAAUCACUGGGCGUAAAGGGCGCGUAGGUGGCGCUGCAAGUCGGUGGUGAAAGCUCGCCGCUUAACGGCGAGUCGGCCAUCGAAACUGCAGGGCUCGAGCACUGUAGGGGCUAAUGGAAUUCCGGGUGUAGCGGUGGAAUGCGUAGAGAUCCGGAAGAACACCAGUGGCGAAGGCGGCUUCCUGGACCGACACUGACGCUGAGGCGCGAAAGCUAGGGGAGCAAACAGG